CAGGUUGAUUCUGCCUGACGUGGACGCUAGUUCAUAGGUUAAGCCAUGCAUGUGUAGGCGACAGUUUUGUGGAGCGGCGGAAGGCUCAGUAACGGGCGUCUAUUUGAUCUUCUGAGACGGACAACCUCUGUAACCGGAGCCAAUACGUCAGAGGCACGGUUACCCUGUGGCGGUGGCGUGCGAAAGCAUUGCGCGGAAGAGUAAGGAGCCAUCCCAUCAGUUAGUAAGUAGGGUAAGGGCCUACUUAGACGAAGACGGGUACGGGGAAUUGUGGUUUGAUUCCGGAGAGGGAGCCUGAGAGACGGCUACCAGGUCCAAGGACAGCAGCAGGCGCGAAAAUUACCGAAGCCUCCGGUGAGGGCGGUAGUAAGGAGACGUGGAAACGAUGAGGAGGUAAAGAAUGCUCUGGUAACAGGAGGUCAAGACUGGUGCCAGCAUCCGCGUAAUACCAGCUCCUGGAGUGUCUAUGAUGAUUGCUGCAGUUAAAGAGUUCGUAGUCGGGCUGCGUGACUGGCGUGAAAGGCUUCUUUCAAGGGGGGCACAGCGCGGGGAAAGCAGAGGAUAAGGAGCGUUUUGGGGCCAGGUUAUUAAGCGACGAGAGGUGAAAUUUGAUGACUCGCUUAGGAGGAACAGAGGCGAAAGCCUGGCCAGGGCGAAUCCGAUGAUAAAGGACGUAGGCUAGAGGAUCGAAGACGAUUAGAGACCGUUGUAGUUCUAGCAGUAAACGAUGCCGAUGCCGUGGUGCGUGGCGACGCGGAGGAGAAAUUGAGUAGGGCCCUGGGGAGAGUACACGGCAAGCGAGAAAUUUAAAGGAAAUUGACGGAAGAACACCACAAGGAGUGGAGUGUGCGGCUUAAUUUGACUCAACGCGGGACAGCUUACCAGGCCCGACGACCGCACGAGUGUUGUACACGAUAGGUCGAAGAGUGGUGCAUGGCCGUUAACGACAAGUGGGGUGACCUUUGGGUUAAGUCCGGGAAGUAGUGAGACCCCUGCCUGUCCGGCGGACAGGACAGGUGCUCAAAGCACAGGAAGGAAGGGUCAAGAACAGGUCAGUGAUGCCCUUAGAUGGCGUGGGCUGCACGCGCACUACAGUGGUCACAGAAAGAAUCGCGGAGAGACAAUGGUGAUCGAGAGGGAAUGAGCUUUGCAAGAGGCUCAGGAACGAGGAAUUGCUGUAAUC
rnacentral:rRNA from 1 species